rnacentral:rRNA from 1 species
GAUGAACGCUGGCGGCGUGCCUAAUACAUGCAAGUCGAGCGAACGGACGAGAAGCUUGCUUCUCUGAUGUUAACGGCGGACGGGUGAGUAACACGUGGAUAACCUACCUAUAAGACUGGGAUAACUUCGUGAAACCGGAGCUAAUACCGGAUAAUAUUUUGAACCGCAUGGUUCAAAAGCGAAAGACGGUCUUGCUGUCACUUAUAGAUGGAUCCGCGCUGCAUUAGCUAGUUGGUAAGGUAACGGCUUACCAAGGCAACGAUGCAUAGCCGACCUGAGAGGGUGUUCGGCCACACUGGAACUGAGACACGGUCCAGACUCCUACGGGAGGCAGCAGUAGGGAAGCUUCCGCAAUGGGCGAAAGCCUGACGGAGCAACGCCGCGUGAGUGAUGAAGGUCUUCGGAUCGUAAAACUCUGUUAUUAGGGAAGAACAUAUGUGUAAGUAACUGUGCACAUCUUGACGGUACCUAAUCAGAAAGCCACGGCUAACUACGUG